AUUCUCAUUUUGGCAGCACCUAAGCUAAAACUGGAAUGAUACAGAGAUUAGCAUGGCCCCAGAACAAGUAUGACAUUUAAAUCUGUAAAGUGUUCCAUAUUUUU
ensembl:snRNA U6 U6 spliceosomal RNA